UGGGGAAUAUUGCACAAUGGGCGCAAGCCUGAUGCAGCCAAGCCGCGUGUGUGAAGAAGGCCUUCGGGUUGUAAAGCACUUUCAGCGGGGAGGAAGGCGUUAAGGUUAAUAACCUUGGCGAUUGACGUUACCCGCAGAAGAAGCACCGGCUAACUCCGUGCCAGCAGCCGCGGUAAUACGGAGGGUGCAAGCGUUAAUCGGAAUUACUGGGCGUAAAGCGCACGCAGGCGGUCUGUCAAGUCGGAUGUGAAAUCCCCGGGCUCAACCUGGGAAUUGCAUCUGAUACUGGCAAGCUUGAGUCUCGUAGAGGGGGGUAGAAUUCCAGGUGUAGCGGUGAAAUGCGUAGAGAUCUGGAGGAAUACCGGUGGCGAAGGCGGCCCCCUGGACGAAGACUGACGCUCAGGUGCGAAAGCGUGGGGAGCAAACAGG
rnacentral:rRNA from 1 species